ACCUGCGGAAGGAUCAUUACCGAGUUUUCGGGCUUCGGCUCGACUCUCCCACCCUUUGUGAACGUACCUCUGUUGCUUUGGCGGCUCCGGCCGCCAAAGGACCUCCAAACUCCAGUCAGUAAACGCAGACGUCUGAUAAACAAGUUAAUAAACUAAAACUUUCAACAACGGAUCUCUUGGUUCUGGCAUCGAUGAAGAACGCAGCGAAAUGCGAUAAGUAAUGUGAAUUGCAGAAUUCAGUGAAUCAUCGAAUCUUUGAACGCACAUUGCGCCCCUUGGUAUUCCGGGGGGCAUGCCUGUUCGAGCGUCAUUACAACCCUCAAGCUCUGCUUGGAAUUGGGCACCGUCCUCACUGCGGACGCGCCUCAAAGACCUCGGCGGUGGCUGUUCAGCCCUCAAGCGUAGUAGAAUACACCUCGCUUUGGAGUGGUUGGCGUCGCCCGCCGGACGAACCUUCUGAACUUUUCUCAAGGUUGACCUCGGAUCAGGUAGGGAUACCCGCUGAACUUAAGCAUAUCAAA
rnacentral:rRNA from 1 species